rnacentral:rRNA from 1 species
UUGAACGCUAGCGGCAUGCUUUACACAUGCAAGUCGAACGGCCGCACGGGAGCUUGCUCCUGGUGGCGAGUGGGGAACGGGUGAGUAAUAUAUUUCAACGUGUCCUGGAGUGGGGGAUAACGCGUCGAACGAUGUGCUAAUACCGCAAACGCUCUACGGAGGAAAGUGGGGGACCGCACGGCCUCACGCUCUUGAGCGGCCGAUAUCCGAUUAGCUUGUUGGUGGGGUAAAGGCCUACCAAGGCGACUAUCCUAGCUGGUCUGAGAGGAUGAUCAGCCACACUGGGACUGAGACACGGCCCAAACUCCUGCGGGAGGCAGCAGUGGGGAAUUUUGGACAAUGGGCGCAAGCCUGAUCCACCCAUGCCGCGUGAGUGAAUAAGGCCUUCGGGUUGUAAAGCUCUUUCGGUGGGAACGAAACGGUCCGCGCCAGUACCGCGCACUACUGACGGUACUCACAGAAGAAGCACCGGCUAAUUACGUGCCAGCAGCCGCGGUAAUACGUAGGGUGCAUGCGUUAAUCGGAAUUACUGGUCAUCAAGCGUGCGCCCGCCGUCUGUAAAGUCAUAUGUGAAAGCCCCGGGCUCAACCUGUGAAUUGCAUUUGAAACUGGCAGGCUAUAGUGUGGCAAAGGGGGGUGGAAUUCCACGUGUACCAGUGAAAUGCGUACACAUGUGGAGGAACACCGAUGGCGAAGGCAGCCCCCUGGGCCAACACUGACGACUCAGGCAUGAGAGCGUGGGGAGCAAACAGGAUUAGAUACCCUGGUAGUCCACACCGUACACGAUGAAUGCUAUCCGUUGUCGGGAUUGCCCGUCAGUGGCGCAGAGAACGCUUUAAGCAUUCCGCGUGGGGAGUACGGUCGCAAGAUUAAAACUCUAAGGAAUUGUCGGGGGCCCGCACAAGCGGUGGAGCAUGUGGUUCAAUUAGAAGCAACGUGCAGAACCUUACCAGCCCUUGACAUCCCGGUCGCGGAUACCAGAGAGGGCGUCUUUCAGUUGCGAUGGACCGGAGACAGGUGGUGCAUGGCCGUUGUCAGCUCGUGUCGUGAGAUGUUGGGUUAAGUCCCGCAACGAGCGCAACCCUUGCCCUUAGUUGCCAUCAUUUAAUUGGGCACUUUAAGGGGACUGCCGGUGAUUAGCCGGAGGAAGGUGGGGAAGACGUCAAGUCCUCAUGGCCCUUAUGGGUAGGGCUUCACACGUAAUACAAUGGCCGGUACAGAGGGUUGCCGACCCAGGAGGGGGAGCCAAUCCCAGAAAUCCGGUCGUAGUUCGGAUUGUUCUCUGCAACUCGAGAGCAUGAAGUAGGAAUCGCUAGUAAUCGCGGAUCAGCACGCCGCGGUGAAUACGUUCCCGGGUCUUGCACACA